UCGAGAAUUUUUCUCAAUGGGGGAAACCCUGAAGGAGCGACGCCGCGUGAAGGAUGAAGGUCUUCGGAUUGUAAACUUCUGUCAUUAGGGAACAAAUCUUCCGCGUAACUGCCGGAAGUCUGAUAGUACCUGAAGAGGAAGAGACGGCUAACUCUGUGCCAGCAGCCGCGGUAAUACAGAGGUCUCAACCGUUGUUCGGAUUCAUUGGGCGUAAAGGGUGCGUAGGCGGCGGAGUAAGUCAGGUGUGAAAUCUCGGGGCUCAACCCCGAAACUGCACUUGAUACUGCUUCGCUAGAGUAUUGGAGAGGAGAUUGGAAUUUACGGUGUAGCAGUGAAAUGCGUAGAUAUCGUAAGGAAGACCAGUGGCGAAGGCGAAUCUCUGGACAAUUACUGACGCUGAGGCACGAAGGCCAGGGGAGCAAACGGGAUUAGAUACCCCCGUAGUCCCUGAGCGGGCUGGCAAGGCGCAU
rnacentral:rRNA from 1 species